CGGAGUAUAGCUCAGUGGAUAGAGCAACGGCCUUCUAAGCCGUGGGUCGUAGGUUCGAAUCCUACUACUUCGACCA
rnacentral:tRNA from 1 species